rnacentral:rRNA from 1 species
UACAGAGGUCUCAAGCGUUGUUCGGAUUCAUUGGGCGUAAAGGGCGCGUAGGCGGCGGGGUAAGUCGGGUGUGAAAUCUCAGAGCUCAACUCUGAAACUGCACUCGAUACUGCUCUGCUUGAGGACUGGAGAGGAGACUGGAAUUCACGGUGUAGCAGUGAAAUGACGUAGAUAUCGUGAGGAAGACCAGUGGCGAAGGCGGGUCUCUGGACAGUUCCUGACGCUGAGGCACGAAGGCC